rnacentral:rRNA from 1 species
GCUAACUCCGUGCCAGCAGCCGCGGUAAUACGGAGGGUGCAAGCGUUAAUCGGAAUUACUGGGCGUAAAGCGCGCAUAGGUGGCUUGAUAAGCCGGUUGUGAAAGCCCCGGGCUCAACCUGGGAACGGCAUCCGGAGCUGUCAGGCUAGAGUGCAGGAGAGGAAGGUAGAAUUCCCGGUGUAGCGGUGAAAUGCGUAGAGUUCGGGAGGAAUACCAGUGGCGAAGGCGGCCUUCUGGACUGACACUGACACUGAGGUGCGAAAGCGUGGUAGCAAACAGGAUUAGAUACCCUGGUAGUCCACGCCGUAAACGAUGUCGACCAGCCGUUGGGUGCCUAGAGCACUUUGUGGCGAAGUUAACGCGAUAAGUCGACCGCCUGGGGAGUACGGCCGCAAGGUUAAAACUCAAAUGAAUUGACCGGGGGCCCGCACAAGCGGUGGAGCAUGUGGUUUAAUUCGAUGCAACGCGAAGAACCUUACCUACCCUUGACAU